CUCGGAUCAGGUAGGGAUACCCGCUGAACUUAAGCAUAUCAAUAAGCGGAGGAAAAGAAACCAACCGGGAUUGCCUCAGUAACGGCGAGUGAAGCGGCAAGAGCUCAAAUUUGAAAGCUGGCUCCUUCGGGGUCCGCAUUGUAAUUUGCAGAGGAUGCUUCGGGUGCGGCCCCUGUCUAAGUGCCCUGGAACGGGCCGUCAGAGAGGGUGAGAAUCCCGUCUGGGAUGGGGUGUCCGCGCCCGUGUGAAGCUCCUUCGACGAGUCGAGUUGUUUGGGAAUGCAGCUCUAAAUGGGUGGUAAAUUUCAUCUAAAGCUAAAUACUGGCCGGAGACCGAUAGCGCACAAGUAGAGUGAUCGAAAGAUGAAAAGCACUUUGAAAAGAGAGUUAAAAAGCACGUGAAAUUGUUGAAAGGGAAGCGCUUGCGACCAGACUCGCCUCCAGGGUUCAGCCGGCAUUCGUGCCGGUGUACUUCCCUGGGGGCGGGCCAGCGUCGGUUUGGGCGGCCGGUCAAAGGCUCCCGGAAUGUAGUGCCCUCCGGGGCACCUUAUAGCCGGGAGUGCAAUGCGGCCAGCCUGGACCGAGGAACGCGCUUCGGCACGGACGCUGGCAUAAUGGUCGUAAACGACCCGUCUUGAAACACGGACCAAGGAGUCUAACAUCUACGCGAGUG
rnacentral:rRNA from 1 species